AUUGAACGCUGGCGGCGUGCCUAAUACAUGCAAGUCGAACGGUCUUUUCUAUGGAAGCUUGCUUCCACUGAGAAGAUAGUGGCGAACGAGUGAGUAACACGUGGGUAACCUGCCCAUAAGAGGGGGAUAACAUCCGGAAACGGGUGCUAAUACCGCAUAGUUUUCUCGAUCGCAUGAUUGAGAAAGGAAAGACGGCCUUUGUGCUGUCGCUUAUGGAUGGACCCGCGGCGUAUUAGUUAGUUGGUGAGGUAAUGGCUCACCAAGACGAUGAUACGUAGCCGACCUGAGAGGGUGAUCGGCCACAUUGGGACUGAGACACGGCCCAAACUCCUACGGGAGGCAGCAGUAGGGAAUCUUCCGCAAUGGACGAAAGUCUGACGGAGCAACGCCGCGUGAGUGAAGAAGGUUUUCGGAUCGUAAAACUCUGUUGUCAGAGAAGAACAAGUUGGAGAGUAACUACUCCAGCCUUGACGGUAUCUGACCAGAAAGCCACGGCUAACUACG
rnacentral:rRNA from 1 species